rnacentral:tRNA from 4 species
GGAGGGGUCGCAUAGUGGCCUAGUGCAACGGCUUGGAAAGCCGUGACCCUCACGGGUCUCGUGGGUUCGACUCCCACCCCCUCCGCCA